ensembl:miRNA Mir1193 microRNA 1193
CUGAAGGGACAAUGGUGCCCACUGUUCUCAGGGUAGCUGUGUGGAUGGUAGACCGGUGACGUACACUUCAUUUAUGCUGUAGGUCACCUGUUUUACUAUCCACCAACACCCAGACCAUCUG